UCGAGGCUAGCCUGGUCUACAGAGCAAGCUCCAGGACAGACCACCAAAACUACACAGAGAAACAAACAAACAACAACAAAAACUUUAAUUGAGUGGCUUACUUGUCAGAUGCUGCAGGAGAGGCAAAUGACAGGCAGCAGUGGUGACUUGCAGAGUGCAGCAGAGACUUUGGACCCCAGUGUUGGAGCAGUCUGUCACCUGGAGCCAGAGUCCCCAGCAGCCAGAGCUGAGUGAGGGACGUCCCAGGAAAGCGUGGGUGGAGAGCCAAGCAGGCAGCUGGAGGGCAAUGUGCAAGGUGCCUUGGCUGCUGUACAAGAGACAAAGUCUCCAGAGAACCCUGCCCUGAGGCUAGCCUUCAGCCAUGCAAGUAAGGCAGCACACAGAAGACUCAAGGCCACUGGCAGAGCAGGUCCCUUGGAUUUCUCACUAUAUCUGGCACCCAAUGCUGUUUAAAUAAAGUGGACCUGGAGCUGAUUCUACUAGACUGGCUGGCAAGCCAGCCCACGGAUCUUCCCUCAUGCUUUCCCAGCCGUGGGUCACAAGUGUGUGCCAUCAGGACCAGCUUUCCGUGUGGGUGAACAACCCUCAUGUUUGUACAAGCACUUAACCUACUGAAACAGCCCGCCCAGCUUACUGUUUGUCUUGUGAACUUUUUUAAGUGAACAGUUAGUUUCAUGAAUUGUAUAUGGUAUGUAUGCCAUAGUGCCUGUGUCGAGGUCAUAAGGUAACUUGUGAGAGUUGGUUCUCCUCUACCAUGUGAGUCCUGGAGAUUAAAUUCAGGUUGUCAGCCUCAAUGGCAAGUGUUUUUAUUUUCUGAACCAUCUUGUUGGAUCAUUAUAUUAUAUUUAUUAUAUUAUGUGUGUGUGUGUGUGUGUGUGUGUGUGUAGGCAUGUGCUAUUGUGAAAAGUCGUUCUUUUCUGGGUCCUGAAGAUGGAACCAAGGUGGUCAGGUGUGGCAGCAAGUGCCUUUACCUACUGAGACAAUUUGGCAGCUCACUUGUGACAUUUUUAUACAUUAUUAUCUCAUAUUUCUAAAACCAUAAGAGACUUGUUUACUUGUCAAGUCUCUCUGUAUA